AGUAAGUUUAUUUUUUUAGUUUUUUGAUAUAAUCUUUGAGUCUUCGUUUUAUUUGAAAUUUUUUUGCGAUUAAUAUUUUAUUUUUAUUAGACGAUAAAACAUGAAUAAUACUUUACACGUGACUAGUUUUUUUGAAUUUGUAUAUAAAAUUUUUAAAUAAGACAGAUGGUCAAAUGCUAGACAUAGAAUGAUGAUCACCCAUGUA
rnacentral:pre_miRNA from 1 species